AUUGAACGCUGGCGGAAUGCUUUACACAUGCAAGUCGAACGGUAGAGGGGGCAACCCCUUGAGAGUGGCGAACGGGUGAGUAAUAUAUCGGAACGUGCCCAGUCGUGGGGAUAACGUAGCGAAAGUUACGCUAAUACCGCAUACGAUCUACGGAUGAAAGCGGGGGACUCGCAAGAGCCUCGCGCGAUUGGAGCGGCCGAUAUCAGAUUAGGUAGUUGGUGGGGUAAAGGCUCACCAAGCCAACGAUCUGUAGCUGGUCUGAGAGGACGACCAGCCACACUGGAACUGAGACACGGUCCAGACUCCUACGGGAGGCAGCAGUGGGGAAUUUUGGACAAUGGGCGCAAGCCUGAUCCAGCAAUGCCGCGUGCAGGAUGAAGGCC
rnacentral:rRNA from 1 species